ensembl:lncRNA
UCUUGCGCCUCCGCUGCCAUGAGGGCGAGCAGCGGCUCCGGCGGGUCGGCUCCCUCAGCUCACCGCCGUGAGGGCGAGCAGCGGCUCCGGCGGGCCGGGCUCGGCUCCCUCGGCUCACCGCCGUGAGGGCGAGCAGCGGCUCCCGCGGGCCGGGCCCGGCUCCGGCUCCCUCGGCUCACCGCCGUGAGGGCGAGCAGCGGCUCCGGCGGGCCGGGCUCAGCUCACCGCCGUGAGGGCGAGCAGCGGCUCCGGCGGGCCGGGCCCCCUCGCCAUGAGGGGCCGCCGCCGCCAUGAGGCCUUCAGCCGAUGGCGGGCUCGCGGAGGUCGGAGCCGCCCGAAGGAGCAGCGCUGAGCUGGCCCGGCCCCGCCGUGUGCGAAACCCCCGAGCUGUGCUGGGACAGCCAAGGAGGCUCUCCAGGAGGGCACUAGAGCCUGCGGAGAGGAGAUGUGAAGGGAUAACCCGCCCGUGAGACACGGGGAGAGCUCUGGAGCCACGUGGGUAAAUUGUUGGUGUGGGGCUUGCUGGAGUGAGCAGCAGGAGUGGUCAGAAGUAAAGCUGUCAAUGCUGCUUUGAAGAUCCUUGUUUGAAAGGUAUUGGGAAGAUGGAAACCUGGAGCCCAUAGUUUAAACAGGGCAGCUGGAGAAGAAUUUUCAGAAUGUGGAUGUAGGAAUUGGAAACAUCAAAGGUGGCUUGGGGCAAGAUAUAACAAGAAUUAAGUGUACAAUUCAUUGUUAAUAUUCUCUCAUUGCUUGUUGGAAAUACAAUUUUAUAUGACCUCAAUUAAAUGUAUUUACAUUUAAGCUUACUCAGUUUGCUUUUCAUUAUCUUACAAGGCUGUUUGGUGCAGCAGGAUUUGAGAGUGGUGUUGAAUUCUCGUGGGAGACUGGAGAGGCUGUAGUGAAGCACCAGCUCUCAUCCCUAGGCUGGGGGAAGUGAGCCCACAAAGGAAGGUUGGAGAAGGCUGACCAUGAAGGCAGGAUGACCAUCAGGGAUUCAGACAAAAAUGGUGUUUAAAUGCAAAAGUUGGAACAAAAGGAGUGUUUUGCUCUCAAAGAUGAGAGUUGGAUUCCUUACAAUCUUCUAGGACACCCUGUUUUUGUGAAAUAAUCCACAUUGCAUAAAUGUCCCUGACACUUAGUUUAGCCAUGAGCACUUCUGCCACCUGAAUAUCCAGAGCUUUGAAUACACACUUUUAUACUGUAUAUGGGAAUAUAUAAAAUAUAUUAAAAUGCUAAAAUAUAACAAUUGAGGAAUAAAGGUUUUUCCUGGUUGAAGCCUGAGUU